GCAAAUAUAGUUUAACUAAAACAUUAGACCGUGACUCUAAACACAGGAGUUUGAUCCUCCUUAUAUGCC
rnacentral:tRNA from 1 species